UACGUAGGGCGCAAGCGUUAUCCGGAAUUACUGGGCGUAAAGGGCUCGUAGGCGGCCAACUAAGUCGGACGUGAAAUCCCCAGGCUCAACCUGGGAACUGCGUCCGAUACUGGAUGGCUUGAAUCCGGGAGAGGGAUGCAGAAUUCCAGGUGUAGCGGUGAAAUGCGUAGAUAUCUGGAGGAAUACCGGUGGCGAAGGCGGCAUCCUGGACCGGCAUUGACGCUGAGGAGCGAAAGCCAGGGGAGCAAACGGG
rnacentral:rRNA from 1 species